GCCAGGGUGGUGAAAUUGGUAUACACGCUACGUUCAGAACGUAGUUCUAGCAAUAGAAUAAGGGUUCAAGUCCCUUCCUUGGCA
rnacentral:tRNA from 1 species